CUUUGAUACGGUUGAACCCAUGUAAAUAAUACUCUUUUUUGUAAAAAUUUGGGAUACUUUCUGUGUUUGAAGAGUUCUCGCUGUGCGCUGGUCGGCCAUCUUGAAAAAAAAUUGUGAAGGUCGUAUAUCCAGCUUUCCUGUGAUGAGAUGCCAUACACAGGGGAUCCGACAGAAGACAGCAGACAGAAUUCGUCGAUGUAUUUGAAAUGUCAUUGUUUAUUUGAAAAAGGUUACCUAUCCACACUUAUUGCACAGUUGCUUUUUGUUUUAUCAGUAAUUCUCCAAAAUUUGUAGUUCGUGUCUAACAUGAUCAUUGAAAUUUUAACAUACAGUAAAUAAUUUCAAAAAAUAAUAAUCAAAUGGAGAA